UGUAGCUAUUGUCACUCAUCAGGGU
rnacentral:misc_RNA from 1 species